rnacentral:rRNA from 1 species
GAAGGACUGAAAAUUACGCCUUCAUGAAGCUGGAAUUGCUAGUAAUGGCAGGUCAGCAUACUGCCGUGAAUACGUUCCCGGGCCUUGUACACACCGCCCGUCACACCAUGAGAGUUGGAAAUACCCGAAGCCUGUGAGCUAACUGUAAAAGAGGCAGCAGUCGAAGGUAGAGCCAAUGAUUGGGGUGAAGUCGUAACAAGGUACC